rnacentral:misc_RNA from 1 species
CCGACCAUUUGCACACCCCUACGUAUUAACUACAUGAAAUCAUCAUGCAAACAUAAUAGAAUAUCAAAUAUGACAUCAAAUUACUCUUUGCAAAACAGGGUGAUGUCACGUCAACCAGGCCAAACUAAAAAAGAUUUAAAAACCAAUAACAAAAGAAAAAGUGAGACUGAUACAUUGCCUGUAGUUUAGCUACUACCAAGUGUAGUUUUCAAAAGAGAAAAAAAAGACAUGGAGACAGUAAAUA